UACGGAAGGCAGCAGUGGGGAAUAUUGCACAAUGGGCGCAAGCCUGAUGCAGCCAUGCCGCGUGUAUGAAGAAGGCCUUCGGGUUGUAAAGUACUUUCAGUCGUGAGGAAGGUGUUAAGGUUAAUAACCUUAGCAAUUGACGUUAGCGACAGAAGAAGCACCGGCUAACUCCGUGCCAGCAGCCGCGGUAAUACGGAGGGUGCGAGCGUUAAUCGGAAUUACUGGGCGUAAAGGGCACGCAGGCGGUUAAUUAAGUUGGAUGUGAAUCCCGGGCUUAACCUGGGAAUGGCAUUCAAGACUGGUUAGCUAGAGUCUUGUAGAGGGGGUAGAAUUCCAUGUGUAGCGGUGAAAUGCGUAGAGAUGUGGAGGAAUACCGGGUGGCGAAGGCGGCCCCUGGGACAAAGACUGACGCUCAUGUGCGAAAGCGUGGGGAGCAAACAGGGAUUAGAUACC
rnacentral:rRNA from 1 species